UUGGACCUGAUAUCAGGCAAGAUUACCCGCUGACCU
rnacentral:rRNA from 1 species